AGCGAACGCUGGCGGCAGGCCUAACACAUGCAAGUCGAACGAACCCUCCGGAGGUAGUGGCGGAUGGGGGUGUAACACGUCGGAACGUGGCGUUAGGCUCGGAAUAACACAGGGAAACUUGUGCUAAUACCGAAUGUGUUCCUCGGGGGCAAGAUUUGUCGCCUGUAGAGGGGCACGCGUCCGAUUAACUAGUUGGUUGUGGUAAUGGCUCACCAAGGCGACGAUCAGUAGCGGGUCUGAGAGGAUGAGCAGCCACAUUGGGACGGAGACACGGCGCAAACUCCUGCGGGAGGGAGCAGUGGGGAAUCUUGCGCAAUGGGCGAGAGCCUGACGGAGCCAUGCCGCGUGAAUGAUGAAGGUCUUAGGAUUGUAAAAUUCUUUCACCGGGGACGAUAAUGACGGUACCCGGAGAAGAAGCCCCGGCUAACUUCGUG
rnacentral:rRNA from 1 species